GGCGUGGGGGAGCAAAACGGGGAUUAGAUACCCCGGUAGUCCACGCAGUAAACGAUGAAUGUUAGUCGUCGGGGGCCUAGUGUCUCGGUGAUGCAGCUAACGCAUUAAACAUUCCGCCUGGGGAGUACGGUCGCAAGAUUAAAUCUCAAAGGAAUAGACGGGGACCCGCACAAGUGGUGGAGCAUGUGGUUUAAUUCGAAGAUACGCGAAGAACCUUACCUAGCCUUGACAUAUUUAAGAAUCCGGUAGAGAUACUGGAGUGCCUUCGGGAGCUUUCUUACAGGUGCUGCACGGCUGUCGUCGGCUCGUGUCGUGAGAUGUUGGGUUAAGUCCCGCAACGAGCGCAACCCUCGUCACUAGUUACUAACGGUUCGGCCGAGGACUCUAGUGAGACUGCCUUCGUAAGGAGGAGGAAGGUGAGGACGACGUCAAGUCAUCAUGGCCCUUACGGCUAGGGCAACACACGUGCUACAAUGGCCAGGACAGUGAGACGCGAUACCGUGAGGUGGAGCAAAUCUAUAAACCUGGUCUCAGUUCGGAUUGUAGUCUGCAACUCGACUACAUGAAGCUGGAAUCACUAGUAAUCGUAGAUCAGCUAUGCUACGGUGAAUACGUUCCCGGGUCUUGUACUCACCGCCCGUCACACCAUGGGAGUUGAUUUCACCCGAAGCGGGGAAGCUAAACUGGCUACCCUCCACGGGGAAUCAGCGACUGGGGGAAUUUACAAGACCAUGAAUCCCCGCCCCUGCGCCGGACAGGCCGCACGCCGCGCGUACAUGCUU
rnacentral:rRNA from 1 species